GACGAACGCUGGCGGCGUGCCUAAUACAUGCAAGUCGAACGCUUCUUUCCUCCCGAGUGCUUGCACUCGAUUGGAAAGAGGAUUGGCGGACGGUUGAGUACCACGUGGGUAACCUACCCAUCAGAGGGGGAUAACACUUGGAAACAGGUGCUAAUACCGCAUAACAGUUUAUGCCGCAUGGCAUACGAGUGUAAGGCGCUUUCGGGCGUCGCUGAUGGUUGGACCCGCGGUGCCUUAGCUAGUUGGUGAGGUAACGGCUCACUGAGGCCACGAUGGAUAGCCGACGUGAUAGGGUGAACGGCCACACUGGGAGGGAGACACGGCCCAGACUCCGAGGGGAGGCCGCAGUAGGGAAUGUUCGGAAAUGGACGGAAGUCUGACCGAGCAACGGCGGGUGAGUGAAGAAGGUGUUCGGAUGGUAAAACUGUGUUGUUAGUGAAGAACAAGUACGGUAGGAGCUGAACGUGCCGUGACGGUACCUAAACAGAAAGCCACGGCUAACUACGUG
rnacentral:rRNA from 1 species